UGGGGAAUUUUGGACAAUGGGCGCAAGCCUGAUCCAGCUAUUCCGCGUGUGGGAUGAAGGCCCUCGGGUUGUAAACCACUUUGUAGAGAACGAAAAGACACCUUUUAAUAAAGGGUGUUGCUGACGGUACUCUAAGAAUAAGCACCGGCUAACUACGUGCC
rnacentral:rRNA from 1 species